GUCCAGGAUUAAGAAAAUGAAUUCAUUUUUGCUUUCCUUCAGUUGUCCUGAAUAUCCCCAACAUGAUUCUAGUAAUAUUUCUCUGCAGUUCACUGUGUAGCAUCUGUAUGUCUUCACAAAUCAUUGACACUCAUGAAGGGAUUCAUAUCAUUUGAGGAUGUUGCCAUGGACUUUACCUGAGAGGAGUGGCAGGACCUGGAAGAUGCUCAGAAGAUUCUAUACAAGGAUGUGAUGCUGGAGACCUACAGCAACCUGAUGUUUUUGGGUUAGUGGAUCUCCCAUGAAGCUCUCUGAAGUAAUUACUGUCUCCUUUCAUAGUAAAUGUACAAGGGUUUCAUAAUGUUUAAUCCUGUUUAGGAAUCAGAUUUUACUCCGUGGUUAAUGUUAGUGACACUCCUCUUUAAGAAAAUGCCCAAAUCAGCCCCUUUAUUGCACAGCACAGCUGAUAAAGCUGAGCCAUUGUUACUCUUCAAAUAGGUUACAUGAAUAGUUUGGCAAAAUUCCACACUGCUUUUAUUUACAGGACAGUGCAUUGCCAAACCGGCAGUGAUAUUCAAGUUAGAGCAAGGAGGAGAUCCAUGGACAUUAGGAGAACUUCCCAGCUUGAACCUCCCAGGUUAGUCAGUGCAUAGUUUUCAGGGACUAGUGUAAUGCAUUUUCUUUUAAAGAAUUUAUAUUUCAUUGAGAGGGGAAAACAAAAUGUUAGUACUGGUGAACUUAGAAAAAUGUAGAAAUGCUUUCCUGGGAUAAGAGUGUGAAAAAAUGGGUAUAUAUUUUUUAAAGCAUCCUAUGGGAUGACAUACUUAGGGUAAUUAGUAUGUAUUUUUAUUGGCUACAAGUCCUUUCUAAGUAACAUUUCUUCUUAAGUGACAAGUGUUUUUUGACUUCUGCAAAUAGAUGAUCUAGAAAACUGUUGACAUUAGCAAAGAAACAGUACACAAUACACAGUGUUAUAAGAAAGGAAAGUGAAAAAGGACAGGGAAAACAAAUGAUGCAUGGAAAUCUUUCAGUGUAAAAUUAUAGGAAGACAGGAGGUAGAUAUUUUGAAUAUUGUUAAAGGUAUUAAAGGAAAG